rnacentral:rRNA from 1 species
CCUACGGGAGACUGCAGUGGGGAAUAUUGGGCAAUGGGCGCAAGCCUGACCCAGCAACGCCGCGUGAAGGAAGAAGGCUCUCGGGUUGUAAACUUCUUUUAUCAGGGACGAAGCAAGUGACGGUACCUGAUGAAUAAGCCACGGCUAACUACGUGCCAGCAGCCGCGGUAAUACGUAGGUGGCAAGCGUUAUCCGGAUUUAUUGGGUGUAAAGGGCGUGUAGGCGGGAAAGCAAGUCAGAUGUGAAAACUCAGGGCUCAACCCUGAGCCUGCAUUUGAAACUGUCUUUCUUGAGUGCUGGAGAGGCAAUCGGAAUUCCGUGUGUAGCGGUGAAAUGCGUAGAUAUACGGAGGAACACCAGUGGCGAAGGCGGAUUGCUGGACAGUAACUGACGCUGAGGCGCGAAAGCGUGGGGAGCAAACAGGAUUAGAUACCCCUGUAGUC